rnacentral:rRNA from 1 species
UAGGGAAUCUUCGGCAAUGGACGGAAGUCUGACCGAGCAACGCCGCGUGAGUGAAGAAGGUUUUCGGAUCGUAAAGCUCUGUUGUUAGAGAAGAACGUUGGUAGGAGUGGAAAAUCUACCAAGUGACGGUAACUAACCAGAAAGGGACGGCUAACUACGUGCCAGCAGCCGCGGUAAUACGUAGGUCCCGAGCGUUGUCCGGAUUUAUUGGGCGUAAAGCGAGCGCAGGCGGUUCUUUAAGUCUGAAGUUAAAGGCAGUGGCUUAACCAUUGUACGCUUUGGAAACUGGAGGACUUGAGUGCAGAAGGGGGGAGUGGAAUUCCAUGUGUAGCGGUGAAAUGCGUAGAUAUAUGGAGGAACACCGGUGGCGAAAGCGGCUCUCUGGUCUGUAACUGACGCUGUGGCUCGAACGCGUGGGGAGCAAACAGG